rnacentral:tmRNA from 1 species
ACAAUUUAAACGCAAACGAUAAUUUAGCACUAGCAGCUUAGUUCUGCUACGUCUUACCUUUGAUUACCGCGACUUAGGAUAGGGCGCCGACAGCGGUGAACCGAGUCUGGGAAAGCUUUGACCUGGAAACGGAAAAUAUGAAGCUACCAAAACUAAAACCCGGCCAGUAGGGGUUCAGUGGAGGGAAAUUUAAAUUAUUGGCUACGCUCGUAGAUGCCUAGGUGUUAUGGCUUUCGGACAGGGGUUCGACACCCCUCGCCUCCACCA